UACAGAGGGUGCAAGCGUUAAUCGGAAUUACUGGGCGUAAAGCGUGCGUAGUCGGUUAUUUAAGUCGGAUGUGAAAUCCCCGGGCUCAACCUGGGAAUUGCAUUCGAUACUGGAUGGCUAGAGUUCGGCAGAGGGAAGUGGAAUUUCUGGUGUAGCGGUGAAAUGCGUAGAUAUCAGAAGGAACAUCAGUGGCGAAAGCGACUUCCUGGACCAGAACUGACGAUCAGGCACGAAAGCGUGGGGAGCAAACAGG
rnacentral:rRNA from 1 species